rnacentral:rRNA from 1 species
UACGAAGGGGGCUAGCGUUGCUCGGAAUCACUGGGCGUAAAGCGCACGUAGGCGGAUAUUUAAGUCAGGGGUGAAAUCCCAGAGCUCAACUCUGGAACUGCCUUUGAUACUGGGUAUCUUGAGUAUGGAAGAGGUAAGUGGAAUUGCGAGUGUAGAGGUGAAAUUCGUAGAUAUUCGCAGGAACACCAGUGGCGAAGGCGGCUUACUGGUCCAUAACUGACGCUGAGGUGGCGAAAAGCGUGGGGAGCAACAGG